UUGACGACCAUGCCGCUCAGGGGUGGCCAACCUGUGGCUCUUGAGCCACAUGCGGCUCUUUGCUUCUUCAAGUGAGGCUCUAGCUGUGAAGCCAGGAAGCAGUC